UAAAACUCCCCGGGUGUGGUCACCGAGGUCUCUAAGAGAGCAGGAAAGCAAAGAGAAGACGGUUCAGGGGAAAGAAGGAAGAGCCAUUAAAGAAGACACAUCAGUAGAGAUGAGAGAGACCCAAAUGCUUAUCUCCAAAGUUGGAAGAGGAAGAUUAAAACAAUAAUUUGCAGAAAAGUCCUGCCUUUGCAGAGACCUAGUGUAAUGCAAGCGUAUGCUGUUGAGGGGCCCGAAUCUUGGCUGCCUCCGCCCCUCUGCACUAGCAGGAACCCCAGUUUUCAGGGGACGCGACCUCAGCCUGUCGCCGUCACUUUUGAAGGUCUGUAAAAAUUCUGGGACCUCUUAUCUCAACGGCUUUGGAG